rnacentral:rRNA from 1 species
CCGGGACAACAUCUCGAAAGGGGUGCUAAUACCGGAUGUGGCCACUUCCUCGCAUGUGGAGGUGAUUAAACCGAGCAAUCGGCUUCGGGAGGGGCUUGCGGCCUAUCAGCUAGUUGGUGGGGUAAUGGCCUACCAAGGCGACGACGGGUAGCUGGUCUGAGAGGACGGCCAGCCGGACUGGGACUGAGAUACGGCCCAGACUCCUACGGGGGGCAGCAAUUAGGAAUCUUGCACAAUGGGCGAAAGCCUGAUGCAGCGACGCCGCGUGGAGGAUGACGGCCUUCGGGUUGUAAACUCCUUUUGUUGGGGAAGAACACAAUGACGGUACCCAACGAAUAAGCUCCGGCUAACUCCGUGCCAGCAGCCGCGGUAAUACGGAGGGAGCGAGCGUUGUCCGAAGUUACUGGGCGUAAAGCGCGCGUAGGCGGGAAAUUAAGUGAGAAGUGAAAGGCUGGGGCUUAACCCCAUGCAGUGCUCCUCAUACUGGUUUUCUUGAGGGUGGUAGAGAGAAGUGGAAUGGCUGGUGUAGCGGUGAAAUGCGUAGAUAUCAGUCGGAACACCAGUGGCGA